GACGAACGCUGGCGGCGUGCUUAACACAUGCAAGUCGAACGGUGAGGCGCUUUCCUUUUUGGUUGGUGUGGAUGAGUGGCGAACGGGUGAGUAACACGUGAGUAACCUGCCCCCUUCUUCUGGAUAACCGCAUGAAAGUGUGGCUAAUACGGGAUAUUCUGCGCCUGCUGCAUGGUGGGUGUGGGAAAGAUUGUGCCUUUGGGUGUUUUCGGAGGGGGAUGGGCUCGCGGCCUAUCAGCUUGUUGGUGGGGUGAUGGCCUACCAAGGCGGUGACGGGUAGCCGGCCUGAGAGGGUGGACGGUCACACUGGGACUGAGACACGGCCCAGACUCCUACGGGAGGCAGCAGUGGGGAAUAUUGCACAAUGGGCGCAAGCCUGAUGCAGCGACGCCGCGUGAGGGAUGGAGGCCUUCGGGUUGUGAACCUCUUUCGCCAGUGAAGCAGGCCUGCUCCUUGUGGGUGGGUUGACGGUAGCUGGAUAAGAAGCGCCGGCUAACUACGUG
rnacentral:rRNA from 1 species